AAUACUGGGUUCUGGAUUAUUCAUAGAUUGCUGACUCUCUGGAUUGAUUGUGCAAGCCCCUCCUUUUAUUGAUGUCCACCUUCUGUUGACAGACAUCUACCCUGGGAGAGAACUAAGAUGAAACUCUUUCUUGUCAUUGUAAAAAGCAUUUGAAUUCCUAAGGUGUGAUAAGGCCACCCAGCCAUCCACAGUCAAGCCAUAAGUUUUUCAGUAAGA